AUUGAACGCUGGCGGCAGGCCUAACACAUGCAAGUCGAAUGGUAACAGGAAACAGCUUGCUGUUUCGCUGACGAGUGGCGGACGGGUGAGUAAUGUCUGGGAAACUGCCUGAUGGAGGGGGAUAACUACUGGAAACGGUAGCUAAUACCGCAUAACGUCGCAAGACCAAAGAGGGGGACCUUCGGGCCUCUUGCCAUCAGAUGUGCCCAGAUGGGAUUAGCUAGUAGGUGGGGUAACGGCUCACCUAGGCGACGAUCCCUAGCUGGUCUGAGAGGAUGACCAGCCACACUGGAACUGAGACACGGUCCAGACUCCUGAGGGACGCAGCAGUGGGGAAUAUUGCACAAUGGGCGCAAGCAUGAUGCAGCCAUGCCGCGUGUAUGAAGAAGGCCUUCGGGUUGUAAAGUACUUUCAGCGGGGAGGAAGGGAGUAAAGUUAAUACCUUUGCUCAUUGACGUUACCCGCAGAAGAAGCACCGGCUAACUCCGUG
rnacentral:rRNA from 1 species